CCAGGACCCAAGCUCCAGUCUCCCCUGCCUCUCCAAGCCAUGGGCCCCCUGCCAGGUAAGGGCACUGGCCAAGGCCCAAUGAGGGCAGGGCAGGCCCCUUUCCUCACGGGGCCUGCUCAGAGUUCAAGGGUUCUGAGAGAUCAUCCAGGCUUCCUUUAAACUGCUGCUGCAGCUGAGGCUGGAGUUUGGAGUUUGACCUGUGUGGAACCUUUCUCAGCAGCAGGCAAGGAGGCAGGGCCUCUACUGUCCUCUGCUGCAAAGAACAGGAAAUCCCAGGGGGUCUCCCUUCUCACAGCCACUGCCUUCUGCCUCUGAAGUCCCUGAGAACCUAGGGCGGUACAGCCUGCAAUCCUGAAGAAGCACACCCACUGGACGCCUACUUCAUCAGGAUUCCAGCUG
rnacentral:lncRNA from 1 species